UCCUAAUACAUGCAAGUCGAACGCACUCUCGUUUAGAUUGAAGGAGCUUGCUCCUGAUUGAUAAACAUUUGAGUGAGUGGCGGACGGGUGAGUAACACGUGGGUAACCUGCCCUAAAGUGGGGGAUAACAUUUGGAAACAGAUGCUAAUACCGCAUAAAACCUAACACCGCAUGGUGUAGGGUUGAAAGAUGGUUUCGGCUAUCACUUUAGGAUGGACCCGCGGUGCAUUAGUUAGUUGGUGAGGUAAAGGCUCACCAAGACCGUGAUGCAUAGCCGACCUGAGAGGGUAAUCGGCCACACUGGGACUGAGACACGGCCCAGACUCCUACGGGAGGCAGCAGUAGGGAAUCUUCCACAAUGGACGAAAGUCUGAUGGAGCAACGCCGCGUGAGUGAAGAAGGUUUUCGGAUCGUAAAACUCUGUUGUUGGAGAAGAAUGUAUGCUGAUAG
rnacentral:rRNA from 2 species